rnacentral:rRNA from 1 species
AUUGAACGCUGGCGGAAUGCUUUACACAUGCAAGUCGAGCGGCAGCGCGGGGGCAACCCUGGCGGCGAGCGGCGAACGGGUGAGUAACAUAUCGGAACGUACCCCGUCGUGGGGGAGUAACACAGCGAAAGCUGUGCUAAUACCGCAUACGACCUGAGGGUGAAAGCGGGGAGUCGCAAGACCUCGCGCGAUGGGAGCGGCCGAUAUCGGAUUAGCUUGUUGGUGAGGUAAAGGCUCACCAAGGCGACGAUCCGUAGCUGGUCUGAGAGGACGACCAGCCACACUGGAACUGAGACACGGUCCAGACUCCUACGGGAGGCAGCAGUGGGGAAGUUUUGGACAAUGGGGGCGAACCCUGAUCCAGCCAUUCCGCGUGAGUGAAG